AGAGUUUGAUCCUGGCUCAGAUUGAACGCUGGCGGUAUGCUUAACACAUGCAAGUCGAACGGAAACGAAACUAGCUUGCUAGUAGGCGUCGAGUGGCGGACGGGUGAGUAACGCGUAGGAAUCUGCCUGAUAGUGGGGGAUAGCCCGAAGAAAUUCGGAUUAAUACCGCAUAAUCUAUUCGUAGUAAAGUGGGGGACUUUCGAGCCUCACGCUAUCAGAUGAGCCUGCGUAGGAUUAGCUUGUUGGUAGGGUAAAAGCCUACCAAGGCAACGAUCUUUAGCUGGUCUGAGAGGAUGAUCAGCCACAUCGGGACUGAGACACGGCCCGAACUCCUACGGGAGGCAGCAGUGGGGAAUAUUGGACAAUGGGGGCAACCCUGAUCCAGCAAUACCGCGUGUGUGAAGAAGGCCUGAGGGUUGUAAAGCACUUUCAAUUGUGAAGAAAAGUUAACGGUUAAUAACCGUUGACCUUGACGUUAACUUUAGAAGAAGCACCGGCUAACUCCGUGCCAGCAGCCGCGGUAAUACGGAGGGUGCAAGCGUUAAUCGGAAUUACUGGGCGUAAAGCGUGCGUAGGCGGUUUAUUAAGUCAGAUGUGAAAGCCCCGGGCUUAACCUGGGAACUGCAUUUGAAACUGGUCAACUAGAGUAUGGUAGAGGAAAGUGGAAUUUCUGGUGUAGCGGUGAAAUGCGUAGAUAUCAGAAGGAACAUCAAUGGCGAAGGCAGCUUUCUGGACCAAUACUGACGCUGAGGUACGAAAGCGUGGGUAGCAAACAGGAUUAGAUACCCUGGUAGUCCACGCCGUAAACGAUGAUAACUAGCCGUUGGGGGGAUUUACCCCUUAGUGGCGAAGCUAACGCGUUAAGUUAUCCGCCUGGGGAGUACGGCCGCAAGGCUAAAACUCAAAGGAAUUGACGGGGACCCGCACAAGCGGUGGAGCAUGUGGUUUAAUUCGAUGCAACGCGAAGAACCUUACCUGGUCUUGACAUCCUGCGAACUUUCUAGAAAUAGAUUGGUGCCUUCGGGAACGUAGUGACAGGUGCUGCAUGGCUGUCGUCAGCUCGUGUCGUGAGAUGUUGGGUUAAGUCCCGUAACGAGCGCAACCCCUAUCCUUAUUUGCCAGCACAUUAUGGUGGGAACUAUAAAGAGACUGCCGGUGAUAAACCGGAGGAAGGCGGGGACGACGUCAAGUCAUCAUGGCCCUUACGACCAGGGCUACACACGUGCUACAAUGGGAAGGACAAAGAGCCGCGAAGCCGCGAGGUGUAGCUAAUCUCAUAAAUCUUUUCGUAGUCCGGAUUGGAGUCUGCAACUCGACUCCAUGAAGUCGGAAUCGCUAGUAAUCGUAGAUCAGAAUGCUACGGUGAAUACGUUCCCGGGUCUUGUACACACCGCCCGUCAUACCAUGGGAGUGGGUUGCACCAGAAGUGGCUAGUCUAACUUUGUGAGGACGGUCACCACGGUGUGAUUCAUGACUGGGGUAAAGUCGUAACAAGGUAACC
rnacentral:rRNA from 1 species